rnacentral:rRNA from 1 species
CUGUAAGCCUGUGAAGGUGUGCUGUGAGGCAUGCUGGAGGUAUCAGAAGUGCGAAUGCUGACAUAAGUAACGAUAAAGCGGGUGAAAAGCCCGCUCGCCGGAAGACCAAGGGUUCCUGUCCAACGUUAAUCGGGGCAGGGUGAGUCGACCCCUAAGGCGAGGCCGAAAGGCGUAGUCGAUGGGAAACAGGUUAAUAUUCCUGUACUUGGUGUUACUGCGAAGGGGGGACGGAGAAGGCUAUGUUGGCCGGGCGACGGUUGUCCCGGUUUAAGCGUGUAGGCUGGUUUUCCAGGCAAAUCCGGAAAAUCAAGGCUGAGGCGUGAUGACGAGGCACUACGGUGCUGAAGCAACAAAUGCCCUGCUUCCAGGAAAAGCCUCUAAGCAUCAGGUAACAUCAAAUCGUACCCCAAACCGACACAGGUGGUCAGGUAGAGAAUACCAAGGCGCUUGAGAGAACUCGGGUGAAGGAACUAGGCAAAAUGGUGCCGUAACUUCGGGAGAAGGCACGCUGAUAUGUAGGUGAAGCGACUUGCUCGUGGAGCUGAAAUCAGUCGAAGAUACCAGCUGGCUGCAACUGUUUAUUAAAAACACAGCACUGUGCAAACACGAAAGUGGACGUAUACGGUGUGACGCCUGCCCGGUGCCGGAAGGUUAAUUGAUGGGGUCAGCCGCAAGGCGAAGCUCUUGAUCGAAGCCCCGGUAAACGGCGGCCGUAACUAUAACGGUCCUAAGGUAGCGAAAUUCCUUGUCGGGUAAGUUCCGACCUGCACGAAUGGCGUAAUGAUGGCCAGGCUGUCUCCACCCGAGACUCAGUGAAAUUGAACUCGCUGUGAAGAUGCAGUGUACCCGCGGCAAGACGGAAAGACCCCGUGAACCUUUACUAUAGCUUGACACUGAACAUUGAGCCUUGAUGUGUAGGAUAGGUGGGAGGCUUUGAAGCGUGGACGCCAGUCUGCGUGGAGCCGACCUUGAAAUACCACCCUUUAAUGUUUGAUGUUCUAACGUGGACCCGUUAUCCGGGUUGCGGACAGUGUCUGGUGGGUAGUUUGACUGGGGCGGUCUCCUCCUAAAGAGUAACGGAGGAGCACGAAGGUUGGCUAAUCCUGGUCGGACAUCAGGAGGUUAGUGCAAUGGCAUAAGCCAGCUUGACUGCGAGCGUGACGGCGCGAGCAGGUGCGAAAGCAGGUCAUAGUGAUCCGGUGGUUCUGAAUGGAAGGGCCAUCGCUCAACGGAUAAAAGGUACUCCGGGGAUAACAGGCUGAUACCGCCCAAGAGUUCAUAUCGACGGCGGUGUUUGGCACCUCGAUGUCGGCUCAUCACAUCCUGGGGCUGAAGUAGGUCCCAAGGGUAUGGCUGUUCGCCAUUUAAAGUGGUACGCGAGCUGGGUUUAGAACGUCGUGAGACAGUUCGGUCCCUAUCUGCCGUGGGCGCUGGAGAACUGAGGGGGGCUGCUCCUAGUACGAGAGGACCGGAGUGGACGCAUCACUGGUGUUCGGGUUGUCAUGCCAAUGGCACUGCCCGGUAGCUAAAUGCGGAAGAGAUAAGUGCUGAAAGCAUCUAAGCACGAAACUUGCCCCGAGAUGAGUUCUCCCUGACUCCUUGAGAGUCCUGAAGGAACGUUGAAGACGACGACGUUGAUAGGCCGGGUGUGUAAGCGCAGCGAUGCGUUGAGCUAACCGGUACUAAUGAACCGUGAGG